GACGAACGCUGGCGGCGUGCUUAACACAUGCAAGUCGAACGGAAAGGCCCUGCUUUUGUGGGGUGCUCGAGUGGCGAACGGGUGAGUAACAAGUGAGUAACCUGCCCUUGACUUUGGGAUAACUUCAGGAAACUGGGGCUAUUACCGGAUAGGAGCUCCUGCUGCAUGGUGGGGGUUGGAAAGUUUCGGCGGUUGGGGAUGGACUCGCGGCUUAUCAGCUUGUUGGUGGGGUAAUGGCUUACCAAGGCUUUGACGGGUAGCCGGCCUGCGAGGGUGACCGGACACAUUGGGACUGCGAUACGGCCCAGACUCCUACGGGAGGCAGCAGUGGGGAAUAUUGCACAGUGGGCGGAAGCCUGAGGAAGCAACGCCGCGUGCGGGAUGACGGCCUUAGGGGUGUAGACCACUUUCGCCUGUGACGAAGAGUGAGUGACGGUAAUGGGUAAAGAAGCACCGGCUAACUACGUG
rnacentral:rRNA from 1 species